CAUGCAAGUCGAGGGGUAGCAUGAUUGUAGCAAUACAAUUGAUGACGACCGGCAAACGGGUGCGGAACACGUACACAACCUUCCUACAAGUGGGGGAAUAGCCCAGAGAAAUUUGGAUUAUACCCGUACAUAGCGAUGUGGCAUCACAUUGCUAUUAUAGCUUCGGCGCUUGUUGAUGGGUGUGCGGCUGAUUAGAUAGUUGGCGGGGUAACGGCCCACCAAGUCUACGAUCAGUAGCUGAUGUGAGAGCAUGAUCAGCCACACGGGCACUGAGACACGGACCCGACUCCUACGGGAGGCAGCAGUAAGGAAUAUUGGACAAUGGAGGGAACUCUGAUCCAGCCAUGCCGCGUGAAGGAUGAAGGCGCUCAGCGUUGUAAACUUCUUUUGGAUGGGAACAAUAACUUCUACGUGUAGGAGCUUGAGGGUACCAUCAGAAUAAGCACCGGCUAACUCCGUG
rnacentral:rRNA from 1 species